rnacentral:rRNA from 1 species
GACGAACGCUGGCGGCGUGCUUAACACAUGCAAGUCGAACGGUAAGGCCCUUCGGGGUACACGAGUGGCGAACGGGUGAGUAACACGUGGGUGAUCUGCCCUGCACUUCGGGAUAAGCCUGGGAAACUGGGUCUGAUACCGGAUAGGACUCCUGGCUUCAUGGUUGGGGGUGGAAAGCUUUUGCGGUGUGGGAUGGGCCCGCGGCCUAUCAGCUUGUUGGUGGGGUAAUGGCCUACCAAGGCGACGACGGGUAGCCGGCCUGAGAGGGUGACCGGUAACACUGGGACUGUGAUACGGCCCAGACUACUACGGGAGGCAGGAGUGGGGAAUAUUGCCCAAUGGGCGCAAGCCUGAUGCAGCGACGCCGCGUGAGGGAUGACGGCCUUCGGGUUGUAAACCUCUUUCAGCUAUGACGAAGCGCAAGUGACGGUAGUAGCAGAAGAAGGACCGGCCAACUACGUGCCAGCCGCCGCGGUAA